rnacentral:tRNA from 2 species
GCACCGGUAGCUCAGCUGGAUAGAGUACGUGACUACGAAUCACGUGGUCGGAGGUUCGACUCCUUCCCGGUGCACCA